ACUGAAGACUGGACCAAGAACUGACUGAAAAUGAUCAGACCUGUUUACUUGGUCACUUUAUUCACUGUGUUUUACACUUUGACUGGUACUGAGGGUCAAACACUGACUGAGUCUGAAUCAGUGGUGAAAAGGCCUGGAGAAUCCCACACACUGACCUGCACAUACUCAGGAUUUGGUGGUGAUUAUUCUAAUGUUUGGAUCAGACAGACUGCAGGGAAAGGACUGGAAUGGAUUGCUUAUAUCAGCAGUGGCAGUAGCACCGCUUAUUCCCAGUCUUUUAAAGACCGGUUCACCAUCUCCAGAGACAACAGCAGAACGCAGGUGUAUCUGCAGAUCAACAGUCUGACCACAGAGGAUUCUGCUGUUUAUUAUUGUACUCGAUUGUCACAGUGACACAAAAAGCAGAAACACUGAACAAAAACUCAUUAUGUCAAAUCAACA